ensembl:lncRNA
CACCCAUCCACACGUGCACCCAUCCACCCCUUCACCCAUCCACACGUGCUCAUCCACCCCUUCAACCUUCACCCAUCUACCCAUCCACACGUGCACCCCUUCACCCAUCCACCCAUCCACCCAUCCACACGUGCUCAUCCACCUCUUCAACCUUCACCCAUCCACCCAUCCACCCAUCCACACGUGUACCCAUCCACCCCUUCACCCAUCCACCCAUCCACCCAUCCACAUGUGCACCCAUCCACCCAUCCACUCAGUGGUUGUUGUAGCCCUGCUCCGUAGCCGUCCAGAGGAUGUGUGUUUCACCCCCUCCAUCACUCCCAGUGAGCUCCGCAUCCGGGCCAGAUCUGGGCCAGAUACGGCUCAGAUCCGGCUCAGAGACAGCUGCCCUCCUCUGGGUCACACAGCAGUGAUGGGACGUGUGGCAUCACAGCAGAGAAGAGAAGAGAAGGCAUCACUGCAGCAACAUAAACCUCAGCUUCAGGCGUCUCAGUAGUGCCUUGUCUGGAACCCUACACCCCACACCCAAAGCCUUGUCUGGAACCCUACACCCCACACCCAAAGCCUUGUCUGGAACCCUCCACCCCACACCCAAAGCCUUGUCUGGAACCCGAACCCUCCACCCCACACCCAAAGCUCUCUCUCCCUCCUGUUGAUCUGUCCAAGACAUUCAGGUGAAUGUAUUUGUGUUGACAUUUAUGCAACGUGUGUUUAAAAAAAAAAGAAAUCCUGUACUUUUGUCUGGGAUUGAGUUUUUGAAAUGCUUUUUCUCGUCAUUCUUUCAAGCUAAUGCAAUGUAGUUAUACUGAAAGCCUGUAUCUUUGCAAAAAAAAAUGUAUAAUAACCAUUCAAAUAAGAUGUUUGUCAAUACAGUAUAUAUCACUCUUGUAUAAAUGUUUUUACGAAAUAUAUAUGAAUAUAAAUAUAUUUGUACGUCAUCCCUCAGUGACAUAAAGCUCUUAGUGUGUACAGUGUAUCCCCAUUACUGCUCGUGACCAUUAUCUUCAAGACCUGUACUUAAUGAAAUGAAAAAUGUUGUUGGGGAUUUGGACUUGGUGCUGUUUGCGUACUCUUUGAGCAUACUCAAAAAGCCCCUCUACAGACAGUCAUUUAGUGUGCAUACUCAAAAAGCCCCUCUGCAGACAGACAGUCAUUUAGUGUGCAUACUCUUUGAGCAUACUCAAAAAGCCCCUCUACAGACAGUCAUUUAGUGUGCAUACUCAAAAAGCCCCUCUGCAGACAGUCAUUUAGUGUCCAUACUCUUUGAACAUACUCAAAAAGCCCCUCUGCAGACAGUCAUUUAGUGUCCAUACUCUUUGAGCAUACUCAAAAAGCCCCUCUGCAGACAGUCAUUUAGUGUGCAUACUCAAAAAGCCCCUCUGCAGACAAGUCAUUUAGUGUGCAUACUCUUUGAGCAUACUCAAAAACAGUCAUUUGCCAGACCAGGCACUCGUACCCUGUGCCAGUAGGCCAGGCCCUUAAUCUCAGUCAUUUCAGCUUGGACAUUUCCUGUGAUGGCAGUGGUCCUCUCGUGCAUUUCAAAUGCAGUUAAACUCAAAGAGUGCCAGCAGGUCAGCCCCAUCUCGACAGAGGUCAAAGGUCAGGCGAGUUCACACAUUUAGUGUUUAUUCCUCGUCGUUUUCUCAUCAAGCGUCAUAUUUCACCUUCUCGUUGACUGAAGAGCUUAGACUGACAGGCUGCUGGAAGCGUGUGCUGGAUGCGUGUGCGAGGCUGCUGGAAGCGUGUGCGUGUGGUGGAUGCGUGUGCGAGGCUGCUGGAAGCCUGUGAGAGGCUGCUGGAUGCGGUGUGUGUCCGUGACUGAGAUGCGAUGCGUGUUGCGUGUCCACGACUGAGAUGCAUUCUGUAUUUCCUUCCUGAGUGCAGCUGGCCAGACAGAGAGAAUGUGCAUGUUGAUGCCGUGUGUGUGUGUGUGUGUGUGUGUGUGUGUGUGUGUGUGUGUGUUGAUGCCGUGUGUUCUCCGUGACCUUCCGCUCUUUUCUGCAUUUUUACUGACUGCCUCGAGUCGAGUGUGGACUGACUGACUGACUGACUGACUGACUGACUGACUGACUGACUGACUGACUGACUGACUGACUGACUGACUGACUGUGUGUGUGACUGACUGACUGACUGACUGACUGACUGACUCUAUUGCUGACUGCAGUAAUUGGCAGCAGUCAGUGUUUGUUGCAGUUGGACUCCAGGACUGAUUCUUGUCAGUGAAACUCCAAAUAUGAAGAGCUUUGUGCAGGUUAGCUGUGUAGCUGAUGGCGGAUGUUGUGGCAGCUCAGUAUUCACUGAAGUUGAGUUGCGUUUGUUUCAACUCAUCCUUGCUUUUCCCACCUUUUCCUUUUUUAUGUUGGACAGAACCUAAAGUAGUAUUUUGAGAUCUUAUUUCUAUUUGUUCAUUUAUGAACUCAGAGACACUAAAGUGUAAAGUUAAUGCAUAAUAAAGAUGUUUUUUUGGCUUGUUUUGCACACUUUGAUGUUACCGUAGGCACAGUGUGUGGUGUGUGUGUGUAGUUUUUCCCCGGCGGAGUUGUUGUGAACGGAUGGCAAAGUUAAGUGGACUGGAUGGUGUUGGUGUGUAUUCCAGUGGGAUAUGUCACAUGGGCGGUCUUUGAGUCACUAACGGUGGUGUGUCAACUUGAGUCAGAGAAAUUGUUGGAUUGCGUAAGAAUAGACUGUGUGUGUGUGUGUGUGUGUGUGUGUGCUGUCAUUCCACCUAGCAAAUGGGUGCUCCCACAGGGCCAACAAUGCCGAGCCACAUUCUCUCCACAUUUUUUAUAGUUUCUUAUAAACCAUUUCUGCAACCAGUCAUUUAGAUGUUUUUUCCGUUGUAAUUGAAUCCCCCAGUCACACACUCCCAGUCAUUGAGAUGCAGGCAUUGUUUGGUAGAAUGUUCCAUUGUUUAGAGUUAUGAAACCGGCAUCUGAGACACGGAGACGGAGACGGAGACAAAAGGGGGAGGGAAAGCAGAGAUGUGCAGAAAUCUGUUUCCCAAAAAAACCGCAGCUUCAGCCUCUCCUGAAGUCUGUGGAGACCGACCGAGACGGGGAUUUGAAACAGGUUUGAACAAGUUCACGGCUCAAUGAGGUACAGCCUAGGUGGUAUUUAUCCCCCCCCCACGUGACUAAAAGUCCACACCUGGAUUAGAACAUCACCAUGGUUGCCAAAAAAAGACUCAACUAACACUGACAACAGUAAUGUGGUUCUUUUUUUUUUUUUGGUUUCUCUGACAUUUUAUUGUUGUUGUUGUGUUCAUCUCCCUAAAUGGAGCCCCAGUUUCUCCACCAACCCUCCUCAGUAGUCUUGACAUCACCAAAUUGAGAGAUGUUGACGAGAGAAGAAUUGGCUUUGCACACUCGAGCAAGCCUCAGGACAAGGGUUCUGCAGGCCCGUUCAAUGGCACCAAAGCUGUUUUGGACCCAAUCUCUCUUUGCCUUUUAUCCGUAAAAAAAAUGUAUGUCUGACCGUGGACUACUGGUGUCUUGUCGAGUAGUAGAAAAAGAAGUCCAUGAUUUAAAGUACUGUGCAUAGAAUCUUUUACUUUUCUGUUCAACACAAUAAGCUGAUUUGUUACUUCGACUGUAUUUUUGUGAAAUAAAAGGUAUUUUAUCACAGAACGGCUUUGUUUCUUUCUUGGCAAGAGGCGUCUCCUUUUGAGUCUUUCAUAAUUAGUUAAGUCCAAAUGUGGCAUACACAUUCACACACAGACACACACACACACACAGAACCCUCCGAACCCUCCGCAAAGGGGAGCGGCUCUGGUGUGCGCUGGAUCCGGACGACUUCUCGGAAGUGUGAGUCUUAUUUCGACACGUCGUCUUGAUAUAUGGGGGAGCGGAUUCCGAGGUCUGGGGAUGAUUGGGUUUGGAUGCUGACUGGCUGAAUGACAGUGUUCUACGUAUAAGAGAGCGCGGCCCAAAGCACUGGAUGCUGACUGGCUGUGUGUGUGUGUGUGUGUGUGUGUGUGUGUGUGUGUGUGUGUGUGUGUGUUUGCUGAAUGACAGUGUUGUAUAAGAGAGAGAGAGCGGCCCAAAGCACUUUAUGACACUCAAGGCCCCCCCACAGUCACAUCUGCUUCCACUGG